GUGUUUUUUUUUGUUUUUUUGUUUUUUUUUUUUAAGCAUAAUGCUGUAAAAACUGUCCAAGCUUAUGUUUUGCUGGUGAUUGGUUUAAAACUGAUUUUUAUGUAUCCAAAUGCUAGCAUAAAUUAGAUUGACUAUCCUGGUGACUGUAGUAGUUAAUGUAACACAUUUUGUAUAAAGUACAGUUUAUAUAGUAUUUAAACUAAUUCAGAUGAAGUUUUAUUUCUUGAAAACAGUUAUUUCCUUUUUGUUUAUUAGCAUGUGUAUAAACACAAAUCACAUGUUCAUAAAUAAAGUUAACAUUCUUUUAGCC
rnacentral:lncRNA from 1 species